rnacentral:ribozyme from 1 species
AGCCCAGCAACUUCUAUCCCCACCACCUCGUGAUGCUGGCCGGUGUACGAGUAACCUUAAGGAAGAUCUAGUAACCAACACCGGUGGAAACUUUGGUCGUAUGCUGACAGGGAAGA